ensembl:lncRNA
GGAAUGUGAACAGGAGUGGUGGGUGUCACUUCCAGGCAGGGCCUUGAGGAAGCAGGUGAGCGUCUCCAUCCCUGUCUGUCUAGAUACAGAGAACCCCAAAGCCCUGCAGGAUGGCAAAACUGCAACAUGGAAGUCACCCGGAUCACCACGUAAAGGAAAUCUGCUCUCCAACCAGGAACAAGCACCUGCCUUGCAAUAUUAGCUCCUUCCCAGGGCUUCGUGCAUAUGCAUAUCUCCUUCCAGAAUCCUGGUCAAUACUAAGGCCUUACUGGAUGCAGAUGAUUGGGAGAAGGAGAGAGGAAGAAGAGUCCUAGAAGAAGGAGCCUGAAUUCCUGGAUCAUCAUGUGGGGGAGCCCACCAAGCAGAAGCACCCACUGGGAAUGUUAUGUAACACAAAUAGACUUUGUGCUUUGGCUAGUAAGCACUUUGGCAGUGACGUUCCAAUGACACUGGUGGUAGUGGAAGUGGAUGCAGGUGAUGAAGGGGUACACUGUCUGUAGAGAAUUUUAAAACAGUAAUGAAAAGGUCUGAAAGUCAAUCUGCUUUUUAUUGUCACCACAUGCCAGCAAUUCUAAAUAAUGCCAGUGUUAAAAUAUUCCUUCUUACCAGGGAGAAAACUCCCACUGUCAGAGGCGUUUGAACCAGAGUGAUUCCAUCUUGAAUAGGGGCUGGGUAAAAUGAGGCUGAGACCUGCUGGGCUGCAUUCCCAGAUGGUGAAGGCAUUCUAAGUCACAGGAUGAGAUAGGAGGUUGGCACAAGAUACAGGUCAUAAAGACCUUGCUGAUAAAACAGGCUGCAAUAAAGAAGCCGGCUAAAACCCGCCAAAACCAAGAUGGCUUCGAGAGUGACCACUGGUCGUCCUCACUGCUACACUCUCACCAGUGCCAUGACAGUUUACAAAUGCCAUGGCAACAUCAGAAAGUUACCCUAUAUGGUCUAAAAAUGGGAGGCAUGAAUAAUCCACUCGUUUGGCAUAUAAUCAAGAAAUAACCAUAAAAAUAGGUAACCAGCAGCCCUCGGGGCUGCUCUAUGGAUCAUUUUCCCUUUACUUUCUUAACAAAUUCACUUCUAUUUUAUGGGCUCGCCCUGAGUUCUUUCUUAUGCAAGUUCUAAGAACCCUCUCUUGGGGUCUGGAUUGGGACCCCCUUCCUGUAACACCACCACCUCCCCUGGUCCCUUGGUAUGCCACUGAAUUUGGGGUUUAUUUAUUACUGGGAUCUGGUUUACCCUAGCUAAUAAAGACAGGCAUAAAGGUAUAAAUAGCAAUGACGAACAUCCAUAUGUACACCAUGUUUUUUAAGGAGAAAAACAUUACAAAUAUGACUGUUGACAUGAACAUUUAAAAUAAAUUUAGAUUUCUUCUGGCGACUGCAGUCUGAUACUUAAGCAAUCUGCCUGGCGUGGGGAAAAGACUCAGGGAGACUUUGCAUUCCACAGAUGCCACAUUAGCCAUCUGGAGUAAGCAGCGCGGCACCAGGUUCUGCCACCAGCUUCUGAUUUAGCCGGCUUCUUUAUUGCAACCUGUCUUACCAGUACGGUCUUUGUGAUCUGUAUCUUGCGCUGACCUCCUAUCUCAUCCUGUGACUUAGAAUCCUGUGACUUAGAGCAGCCGUUCUUUAUUCCUUUACUUUCUUAAUAAACUCACUUUCACUU